rnacentral:rRNA from 1 species
UACAGAGGUCCCGAGCGUUGUUCGGAUUCACUGGGCGUAAAGGGUGCGUAGGUGGUGAGGUAAGUCGGAUGUGAAAUCUCCGGGCUCAACCCGGAAAUGGCAUUGGAAACUACCUUGCUAGAGGAUUUGAGGGGGGAUUGGAAUACUUGGUGUAGCAGUGAAAUGCGUAGAUAUCAGGAGGAACACCGAUGGCGAAGGCAGGUCUCUGGGCAUUAACUGACGCUGAGGAGCGAAAGCAUGGGGAGCGAACAGG